CUUCAGCUAAAAAGUUGAAUUAUUGGGACAUGCAUUAGGGAUAUCUGAACAGGCCUGCAAAAAUCUGGACGGCCAUCCGAUGGAAUUAAAAGACUCUCUUCACAAAGACUGUUUAUCCCUAAACAUGCCAGAAUGCAUAAACCUUUCCCAUCGGGCAACCUGCAAGUCUCUUGAAACUGCGGGAAAGUUUGGUGGAAAUAAUAGGAGCUGCAGUUUCAUCUGAAGGAUGCCUGGAAGACUGAUAUUGUAACUGUAUGUGGAAAUGACUUUGGAAGACAGAGAUUCUGCCUGAGAACCGUCAGACACACUACCGGAAUGUGAUGGGCUACCAUUAAUCCUGUGUCUAGUCUUCAGUAGACUUGCUACAAGGCUAGCUAUAUUGAGUAUUUUUUCCUAAAACUGAGAAACUACUUUGUUGAACAAGAUUUCAAAGGGAUCAUCCUCAAGACUCAUUACGGUACACAGGAGAUGCAGACCAAAUGAUCCAUCUCAAAAAAACAUUCAUCACCAUCAUCAUGGCAAAUUAAAGUUAGAAUCCUUGGUAGUCUCAUUGUCCUUAAGUCUUAUUGAAAUCAAUGUCAAAUGUUCUUCAUUUCAUGGACCCUAACUGCAAAUUUGCUCAGAAACUGGCUUAUUGUCAAAAUACACUCUAAGAUUCUUUUGUA